GGUGUCAAAUACGGGAAUCAGAAAUGGUGCGUGUGUAUUAGUAGAAAAGGCUCUUAGUAGAAAACUGUUGUACUUGCCAUGCCGACACCAUAUUUUUGAAAUUGUUCUCCGAAGUGCAUUUGAAGUAUACUGGCCUGCUUCGUCUGGCCCAAACGUUCCAAUUUGUCAGAGAUUUAAAAAGAAGUGGGAUGAAAUUGACCAAUCAAACUUUACGGUUGGUAUUUGUGACAAAAAAGUUUUGGAAGUAAUAACACCAAUCAAAGAUGAGAUUUUGAAAUUCGUUAAUAAUCAAAUAGAAAUGGAUCAUUGUCGAGACGAUUACCGUGAACUUCUGGAAUUAUCAUUAAUAUUUUUGGGUACUACUACCACAAAUAUUACAUUUAAGCAUCCUGGAGCGGUCCAUCAUGCAAGGUGGAUGGCUAAAGCAAUAUAUAGUUUAAAAAUUUUUUUAUUCAGAAAUGAAUUUCAUCUUACUAAAUCGGAAAUAGAUCGAUUACGAGAACUUUGUUUAUUUAUCAUAAUAUUCUAUUUAAAAGCUUGGUUCACUGCGCCAUGUGCUAUAACAGCACCUAAUAAUGAUUUAACUUUGAUUAAAGAAUUAAUUUCAUAUGAAAGAUUUAAUAAUAGUCUUUCACAGACAUGCUCACAAAAAUUAGCCGAUCACUUGUGGUAUUUAAACAACGAGCUGUCUGUUUUAUCUCUCUUUGAUAAAAAUGUUUCAGUUGGAACAAAAAAAAAGAAUAGUUCAUGCUCUUAAAAACUGUAAAGCCAAUGAAACUACAACAAAUCGCUUUAUAAUAGAUAAGAAAAAUUUAGAGUCAUUAUUAAAUAAAGAUCUUAGUCAAUUUAUGUCUAUGAGAUCGAUUAAUAUAUUUGAAUCGUUUGAUUUGUCGUAUGAGUUCAUUGAUGAGGAUGUUACUUUGUGGCCUCAGAAUCCGAAUUUCUUAGAAAACUUGGAGUAUUUCGGGAAACUUCAAGUUGUGAAUGAUGUAGCAGAACGCGGCGUGGCAUUGAUAGAGCAGUAUAAUCGAUGCUUAACGAAAGAUGAAGAACAGCUUCAAUAUUUGUUGCAAGUAGUGACAGAACAUAGAAAACAAUAUCCUAAUUGCAAUAAAAGUAAUUUUAUAAAACUGUAAUAUUUUCAAGUUGAAAAAUUGUUGUAACAAGUUGUAAAUAUAGUUUUUUGUUAUAAAGAA